rnacentral:rRNA from 1 species
AUGGAUGUACAGCUGUCCCAGCAGCCAGAUCAGCUGUAUUGGAAACUUAUUAAGAAUGGUGUGUUCUCGGUCAAAUCCAUGUAUCUGGAUGUCAUUAACUCUAGCGUCAUCCCCUCCUCGAUGUACGUUUGGAAAGUAAAUGUACCCUUACGAAUCAAAGUGUUUAUGUGGUUUGUGCAUAAACAAGUCAUUUUGACUAAGGAUAACCUGGCAAAACGCAACUGGGUGGGUUCUUCUAGGUGUAGUUUUUGCGACCAUAACGAAAAUAUCAACACCUCUUUCUUGAUUGUCCGUUGGCUAAGAUUAUGUGGCGGUCGAUUCAUAUUGCGUUUAAUUUUAGUCAGCCCACCUCUAUCAACAUGUUAUUUGGAACAUGGCUUGAUGGGGUUGACUCUGAUACUGCGAGGCACAUACGUGUUGGCGUUUGUGCUUUAUUUUGGGCAGUCUGGAACUGCAGAAAUGAUUUAG